UUCAUUCAUAUUGUAAAUGCACUAGUACUUCAUUUUUAUUGCUGAAUAGUAUUCAUUAUGUAGAUAUAAUGUUUCAUUUACCCAUUCACCAGAUGAUGGACGUUUGGACUGUUUCCAGUUGCUGUGUAUUAAGAAUAGCAUUGCUAAGAACAUUCGUAUACAAUUACUUACAUGGACAUAUGUUUUUUCUCUUAAAUAGAUACCUAGGAGUGCAAUUUCUGAUUGAAAUGAUGGAAGCAACUGUGGAAAAUCCUUGUGGAAAGGCAUAA
rnacentral:lncRNA from 1 species